AACAACUAACAAAACUUGUGCUGGAAACUAAGGCUUCUUGGGUAAAAUGCUUACCCCUUGCACUGUUAAACAUAUGGACACAGCCCAGAACUGAUGUAGGAAUUUCUCCUUUUGAAAUGCUAUAUGGUAUACCCUAUGACUUGGAAUUGCCACUUGAUCACCCUCAAUUCUAAUUAAGACUUGGAAAGUCUUAAGAAUUGGAAAGACUUGCUUUAACACCACGAUGGGGAAGGCCCCUAUGUUGUUUUGCUUACCACAGAAACGGCUAUUCGAACUGCGGAGAAAGGAUGGACGCAUGCCAGCCGUGUGAAAGGACCAAUCCGGGAAGGUGAUAAUUAUACCAAGGAUUCUAUACCACCCUGAGGAUUAUAUGUACAUCCAGACACAGUGGAAAGUCAUCAUCUGGAAAGACGGGAACCAUUCACGGCUCUAACUUUGGCCACCCUAAUAAUCCUGGGAGGAGCUGGAGUGGGGACCAGGGUAGCCUCAUUGGUUAAACAAAAUCAAGAAUUUACUUCCUUAUGCAUUGCUGUGGACGAGGACCUGACCCAAAUUGAACAAUCCAUCUCGGCCCUGGAAAAUCUAUCAGGCCAUUUUCAGAGGUAGUGUUACAAAAUCGUAGGGGAUUAGAUUUGGUAUUUUUUUACAACAGGGCGGGCUGUGUGCAGCCCUGAAAGAGGAAUGCUGUGUGUAUGCUGAUCACACUGGAGUGGUAAGAAAUACAAUGGCAAGACCCAGGGAAGGGUUGAAAAAAAAAAAAAAAAAAAAAAG